GUUCCGUCGGUACCUCGAAAAAGGAACGAAACCGCUGUCCUACUGUGCAAAAGUGGAGAAGUGAAGUGGGCUCGGUGAUACACGAGGGCGACGACGCGAGAAUUGCUGCGUCGUACAAAAGUUCCGUCGGAACCUCGAAAAGGGAACGAAACCGCUGUCCUACUGUGC